rnacentral:rRNA from 1 species
GUGAGGAAUAUUGCACAAUGGGCGCAAGCCUGAUGCAGCGACGCCGCGUGGGUGAAGAAGGUUUUCGGAUCGUAAAACCCUUUUCUGUGUGACGAGCAAGGACGGUAGCACAGGAAUAAGUCUCGGCUAACUACGUGCCAGCAGCCGCGGUAAAACGUAGGAGACAAACGUUAUCCGGAGUUACUGGGCGUAAAGGGCGUGUAGGUGGUAGUGUAAGUCUGGCGUGAAAUUUUUCGGCUUAACCGGGAAAGGUCGUCGGAUACUGCACAACUAGAGGACGGUAGAGGCGUGUGGAAUUCCGGGUGUAGUGGUGAAAUGCGUAGAGAUCCGGAGGAACACCAGUGGCGAAGGCGACACGCUGGGCCGUACCUGACACUGAUGCGCGACAGCAUGGGGAGCAAACAGGAUUAGAUACCCCUGUAGUCC